rnacentral:misc_RNA from 1 species
GCAAAAGCCUUCCACAGAUAGGCAGGGAAGAAAUGGGCAACGCUCAGUCGCCUUCGGCGGAUCCUCGCUUCGCUUCUGCCACCAGAGCCUUUACUCCACACGAACUGGAUGACCUCAAAUUAUUCUUUGUUUCCCUUGCUGCUCAAUCUCAGAGCAAAGGUGACUACAUUUCCUCUUCUGUUUUUCAGGCAUAUUUUGGAUUGAAGGGGCCUUUAGGAGAGAGAUUGUUCGAUUUAGUUACCCAGAAGCGAAAAGAUAACAAACUCUCCUUCGAGGACCUCGUGAUAGCUAAAAGCGUUUAUGAGAAAGGAACAAAAGAUGAGAUUGAUGAGUUUGUUUAUCAAUUAUUGGAUAUAACAGAUGAUGGGAUUUUAGGAAGGUCUGAUCUAGAAUCUGUUCUAAUUGUGAUUUUGAAGAGUGUUUUUUCCCUGAAAGUUAAAGAAGAUGGAUCAAGCUCAUGUCAGGAUGUUGCCAACGUAUUUCUUAAUGCUGCAACUUUUUCAAAGGAUGUUCAAGGAGCUGCUGAAAAAAGUAUGUCUUUUGAGGAUUUCAGAGGUUGGUGUAGUCUUCUCCCAUCAGUCAGGAAGUUUCUUGGAAGCUUGUUGAUUCCACCAGAUGCAGGGAGGCCUGGUUCUCAAGUUCCUCACUUGGUGCAUGGGGAAAAUAUUGAUCCUAACAUGAUACUGUUAAGGAAGGAGUAUGCUUGGCAUAUAGGAGGAGCCCUUUCUCAACAAGAGCUGGAGGAAUGGAAACUUUUGUACCAUAGUGCUGUUAAUGGCCUAAGUUUCAACACAUUCUUGGGCAGUGUCUCAAAUGGCGAAGGGCCAACAGUUUUGAUUGUU